AGCACUGCACUGUGCUAUCAAACUAACUACUGUCUAACGCACACCUGGUAGAUGUGUGCAGGAAAAUGAAAUUAGGCAAAAGAAGAGAUUUCUACUUACAGUCAGCACAGAGUUUUUUGGAAAUGCAAUCUUCUGGUCAAAGCAUCCAUUUAAAAUUUUUCUUUUAUUGAGUUUAUCCAUGAAGACUGUUAGACUGUAUGUUUAUGGUAAAGUAGUGUCAUUAAACUAAACUUAUCUACUUAAAAUCUAUGAUAUUGUCUGUCCAGCUAUUGUGAUGUAAAUAAUACAUAUUAUAGGCUGCAUCACAAUCUGGUAAAAUGUACCCAAGCAAAACAAAAACUCAGUUAUUGGGACUACAUGCAGAGCUAAAUAUUGUUUCUUUUUUAAAAUAAUUUUUUGGCCUUUUAUUAUAUAGGACAGUGGAGACAGACAGGAAAUGUGGGUACAAGAGUAGGAGAAUGCCAUGCAGUAAAUGGCCAUGGGCUGGAUUCGAACCCAUGACAGCUCUAUUUGAGUUUAUAGUCCCUGUUUUUGGGUCAUCCACUCAGCCAGCUGAGCUAUCUGGAUGCCCAAUAGUGUUUCAUUUUAAUACAACAAAAGUAUAAGUCUUUACUUGUGUAUUGCCACCACUGUUCCCUCUAAGCUGCGCGCGUGCGCAAUUGCGCACUGCUGACACGGUCUCAGCGCACAGAAAAUCUGUGCGCUGUGCACACAAAAAAAAUCCAACCUAAAUUGUAAAUAAAAUUAACAUGUAACAAUUCAUUCUGUGCUAUUUUUCAAUGUGAGUCAGUGAGUGACCGGUGACUGGCUGCUGCAGCCAAUGAUGUGAUUCACAUACGUAGUUACCAUAGACUGUAUAUAAUGGUAUUUACGCAGCUAAUCAACGUCAGGCGUCCUUAUGUGCAGCCACUGUUGUUGUCAUAGAUAUGAAUGAGUAGAUAGGACACGUCCCUUUGAGCUGCGUACUACGGCGAGGCUAAGCUAGUGGGGGCAAAGUUUCAGUGCAUUCCGUUGAUGUAGACAGCUUGAAAACGGUAUGAAGUAUGCCGGCUCACUGUGCUGCAUACAGUUACACACUGCGUCAUACGAUUGAGACAAGGAAACUUGGAAUGACUUUUCAUAGGUUUCCCAGAGACUAUGGGUUGAGGAGGAAGUGGAAGUUUGUCGGCUUAGACCUGGUGUCAUUCCAUCAGUGUUAAACUUCCCGGCUCAUCUUGGAAGAGUACGUGCCAGAAAGACCACGACCAAGCAGCCUUGAGAUCUUAGGCAGCGUCUCCCUGAGGUCCCUCUCUAUCUCCCCACACAUCCACCAACCACUGGAACACAUCUCCAACGUUCUGCUGGGCCAGCUCAGCUUCCCCUCAGAAGAAGUUCCACCACCUGCCAGAUGAAGGAGCCUUUUGAGAGGCAGCUGGCAUCGUGAUUGGACUGUACUUUGGUCUGUUCCAAUCCAGCUUCAGCUCCAGAGACGGCAGGCGGGACGAGUCAACGGAGGCCGGGUGGACGAAGGCAUGCAGCUGAGUACAAUCCAGAAAACAACAGAGGAGGAGUGCAGUGACUCAGAGCCAGAACAAC